CCUACGGGAUGCAGCAGUGGGGAAUAUUGCACAAUGGGGGGAACCCUGAUGCAGUAACGCCGCGUGAAGGAAGACGGUUUUCGGAUUGUAAACUUCUUUUCUCAGGGACGAAGAAAGUGACGGUACCUGAGGAAUAAGCCACGGCUAACUACGUGCCAUCAGCCGCGGUAAUACGUAGGUGGCAAGCGUUAUCCGGAUUUACUGGGUGUAAAGGGCGUGUAGGCGGGACUGCAAGUCAGAUGUGAAAACCACGGGCGCAACCUGUGGCCUGCAUUUGAAACUGUAGUUGUUGAGUACUGGAGAGGCAGACGGAAUUCCUAGUGUAGCGGUGAAAUGCGUAGAUAUUAGGAGGAACACCAGUGGCGAAGGCGGUCUGCUGGACAGCAACUGACGCUGAGGCGCGAAAGCGUGGGGAGCAAACAGGAUUAGAUACCCGAGUAGUC
rnacentral:rRNA from 1 species